AGCGCCCGCCCGGGGCCCGGCGGGAGCGGCCGCGGCUCCUCCCCGGCCCCUCCUCGGCACCCCGAGCCCUCCCUCCUCCUCCUUCUCCUCCUCCUCCUGCUGCUGCUGCUGCUCUUCUCCUCCUCCUCCCGCCACCGCUUUGUGUACGGCGCGCUCCGGCCCUGCCGCCCCCCCCCCUUCUCCUUCAUUCCCUCCAUCUCCCCCAUUCCCGGGCGGUUCGAGCCGGUUCCACCGUCACCGAUUCCCCCCCACCUCCAUCUCCCGCCGCUGUCGCCGUCAUCCCCGGGAGGCUCUGCUGCCUUCAUCCCCCCCAUUUCCCCGCGACCCCCGCCUCACCUUCCUCAGCGCUGCCGCCGCUCGCUCCUAUGGGGCUCCGCUCUCCUCUCCCCGCAGGGCGCGGGGGCAGGUGACAUGAGCCCCCCUCCCCACCUCGCCUCACACUUGGCGGGAUGCUGAGGAGGAGGAUGAAGAUGGUGAUGAAGAAGGAAUUAUCCCUGGCUCUGCUCGCCCUCUGCAAAAAUCUCCCACCUCAGGCAAGUGUUGGAUCUACCUGGAUGGGUUUCACCCACCUUGCCGCCCUUGACAUGCUCAGGGAAGCAGUUCCAGGCAGGAAUUUCAAGGUUGAAAAUCCAAAUUUUCCCCAUUUUCUCCACCUUGGAAGGAUCAGGAUCCAACAUCUGGGAAAGAAUCCAUCAGAACAGGAGAAUGAGAAUAAUAAAGUAAAUUUUAUUUUUACUAAUUUAAUAUAUUUUAAUUUAAAUACAUGAAGCACUUAAGUAUAUUUCAAAUCUUGCUUUAAUUCCUUUUUUUUUUUUUUCACAUUCCUCAUGAAAUUUGGGAUGGGACAGAAAUUGGAGAACCCUGAGCUCUCAAACUUUUAAUUUAAUUAAUUUAAUUUAAAUUUUUUAGGAAUAAACCCAAAUUUUCUGUGCCACAAUGAAUUCCAAAGUAAAGAAAGGAGAUUUUUAGGGAUUCUGGGGAUGAUUAAGGACUAAUUAAGGACUAAUUAGGGAAGUUGUUCUGAGCCAAAGCAGAUUUUUAUCUCUGGACUAAUUUAAAUUUGGGAUGGGCCCUUCCCACGCUUUUUGUGCUGCUAAAAAUAGAAUUUUUUAUUAAACUCUCUUUUCCCAGGUGCCAAAAUGUUGAUUAAAAUAACGAUUAAAAAUAAUGAGAAAAAUCUUUUAUCUUUGGGAUGAGAUUUAAGGAGAAAAAUUCAGAAUUCAGGGUACCCAGAAGAGGUUUUGGGUUGUGGGUAAAGAAUGAGUUUGGGCAGGAAAAUUCCCAAAACUGGGGGGAAACAGUAAAAAAAAAAAAAAAAGUGGAAAAAACAGCCCCAAAAAUGAGGGAAAAUAGCCCAAAAAAAAAGAGGGGAAAAUAGACAAAAAAAAAUGAGGGGGGAGUAGCCCAAAAAUGAGGAAAAAUAGCUCAAAAUUUGAGGGAAAACAGCAAAAAUAUCUCAUUUUUUGGGGU